CAGUGGGAUCACAGCAAUAUGAAGUUUCAUUGAGGUAUUUCUUGUCCUCCAAGGUGGAAAGGGUGGGUGAGACAUCCCAGCAUUUGUACCCAAAUUUGCUAUGCAAAUUGUGCACUCUUUUCCCAUGAAGCAAUUCCUUUGACUGCAUUCCACUAAUUUACAUUUUAGCACCACUGAGCAUCCAAUGUCCCAUUUCAUGGCAUUGCUUAAUUGAAGGGUAUUAACUCUGCAAUAUCAGAGAUGCAAUUAAUUACUUAAUUAAUUAGACUUUACCUACAUAAUGCAUUAAUAGCAGGCAUCACAUAUUCCCUGAUCAUUCAUCUUCUCAAAGAAGCUGUGGCUUGGAGUGAGUAAAUCUGUAUUUUAUGAAGUUUGCAGAGGUUUAUUUUUAAAUGACAGGGCACUUCUGAGUUCUAAUUUGCAUUACUCUGCUUUCCUGUGACCAGGACUUCGAGGAGCAGUGAAGCAACCUUUGAAAGCUGGUUCACUUGGACAGCUGGCAAUAAAAGGCUGUGUGUCAAUAAGCAUUAUAGACCUGAUAAGAGCCUGUGACUUGAACUAUAUGCAAAAGUGAAAUGAACUUGCGUUCCUACUGAUCAUGACGUGCAAGGAGCAGUCACAGCUGAGGAAGGAAGUCCAGCUCAGCCCAAAAGAUCAAUGAAAGGGAUGGAGAGGCAAUUCCCUUUUCUUUUGUGUGUGCGUGUUGGUGUCUUUUUUCAAUACAAGUGAUGAAUGUGAAAGCAAUAAAGACUGAGAAGAUAAAAAGCUGGGAUUUGAGAGAAAGAGAUACUUCCCAUUAGGACAUGAAACCCUUAAACCCAUGAAUGCACUGUCUGUGAAACUGCUGGAAGCAAAGAGAAGCAAAGAAUGGAGUAGAAGAAAACAAUGGUCCAAAGGGCUGAAGACUUUUCCACCUUAGUGGAAACUUCACUGAAGUUAAAAGAACUUUGGAAUGAAUUCUUCCUGAAUGACUAAUCAUAGUUGUUCAUUUCAUUAGACUCCAAGAGGAAGCAAAAAUGGUGAGUCUGUUCUCUCAUCUACAAAGGAUGGUGGCCUUAUCAUGCUUCUGUGGACAACCUGAAACCAUAAAAAACUGAU
rnacentral:lncRNA from 1 species